GUUUCCUGUAAGAUAUUCCCUUCUUGCUGUGCAUGGACUUAACUACUGCAAGUAAAAUAUAUUUACAUCUAUUGUUCUUGAAUAGAUCUGCUUCAGAGUUUGUUUUUAAGUUGUAUCCUUCCGGUCUGAUUAUUGCAUUUCUUUUCCUUUCUAGUGCCAAGGUCACAGCCAAAAGUUGUCUCCGAUGAAGAUCUGACUGCAACUGAGCAAGCUGCUCAUGAAGAGAGGUCUAAAUGAAACAGAUUAUCCUGAAGGGGAGGAUAAAGAAACUGGCCACCAAGAUGGUAAUCACUAGUGGAAAUGAAGAAGAUAAAGGCAGUCAAGAAAAGGAAAGCAAAGAAGAAACCAUCUUGGCAAUGCUUGGAAUUAUUGGGACAAUUCUGAACCUCAUUGUGAUCAUUUUUGUGUACAUUUACACAACGUUGUAAACUAGCAGGCAUGCAAAUAGAACAGAUAAAACGGCCAUUAAGAGUGACAACAAACAUUGCUGACUAUUGACAAGUUGUUUAAUCAGAAUUGACUCUGUAUUAUAUUAACACAUCAUAAAAGCACUGCCUGCAGGCAGCGAAGGCUGAAGCACAAUUAAUUUAACAAGACUUCUUCACGCAGUAACAAGCUAAACUCUUCUGUCCUGCCCUCUUCCUUUCGCUUUGGUUUUCGGUUUGGGGGAAACAUGACUGCAAUUAUGUAAGUUGUAGCUUUGAAGAAAUCCACCCGGGUUAUGUUAUUUUAACACAAUUUAAAAAGAGGGGAAAAAAAAGAAAAAAAAAAAAAAGAAACUGUACACUAUAUACAAUUAAAAAUGUAUACUGUAUACCUGCAAAGAUGGAGCUCUAUGAUAGCUACAUAGCACAGAUCACGUGUCCGUUAGGUCAAAUGAUAUUUUUUCUCUUGGUUUAUGCUUUUACUUACAUCGAAUCUGACAGGCUUUUUGUUUAGAAUGAACAUAUGGUGCAAUCAUGAAAAAAAAAAAAAACCAACAAAAAAACCAAUUCUAUUGAGCAAGAUCUGCCUAAAACUGAUGCGAUGUUGGGAGAAAUGUGGUAUGUGGUUAUUUUAACUUUCUCAUUUGCUUAACAUCUGUGUCUGUUCAUACCAAUGUUUAUAAAUAUAUAUUUUUAAUAAAUGUGCUAUAUUUUUAGCA
rnacentral:lncRNA from 1 species